UAUUGUUUAUGCGAUUAUAACGAAUCACACGAUCAUUUUAUACGCAGCAGCAGUCAGCAGCUGCAGCACACUCGGAUCCGACCGCAUACAUACUGUAAUAAACAGGCGUUCGGCGGCUUUUUACAUCACGACAGGCUAAGCCAUUUGAGGAGGAACCGCUCAUUGAUCACCGUAUUUUUAUAAAUCCUGUACAUGUUUGGACCUGCCGAACAGGUUGAGCACUUUUAUAUACUUUAUUGAGCAGAGAGGCUGCCUGCACAGUUUGACCGGCGGGCUGCGGGAACCGGCGCACAUCACGCCGCCAGACGGUGUUGCUAAUAUAACUCGAAAUGUAUAACUAUUAUCAGAUCGGCCCGGGAAAGUCCCGACUCUCUCGAUUGCCAUUCCGCUACUGGCUGUAAGAAAGUGAGUGCGUUUGGGUCGCUGGUCCCCGCGAACAGACGUGACGUGCUUCACUCACCUUCCAGGAUUAGAGACAUGCUGCCAAAACCGUUUGUGCUGAAGAUCGCAUAAAGUUACACCCAUUUCAGGCAGGAUCAUGGACCCCCUCAAGCCAGCAUGCACGAGUAUGUUAAUUGUUUGUUUACUUUCUACACGAAGAUAUGUUAACCUUAUGCUAUCUGGCUGUCUGCCUAUCUCUCUAUACUAGCCUAUCCAUCUGUCUGUCUGUCUAUCUAUCUGUCUAUCUAUCUAUCUAUCUAUCUAUCUAUCUAUCUAUCUAUGUAUGUAUGUAUCUAUCUAUCUAUCUAUGUAUGUAUGUAUGUAUGUAUUUAUCUAUAAUCUGCGCUAUCAGAACUGUACUUUACUCGUCUUUCUAUUCACCUUAUUUUUCACGACAACAAGGGCGGCGCCAUUUCGCUCAUUUUGUCAACGUUCUUCCGGCCGCAUAGACGAUGAGCAGCUGAGGCAGUGACUGAAGGCGACGCGUUAAAGCUUAAAAAGCUCACCCGAGCGCCUUUAUGUUUCUUUCUUACCAAUUUUAAGCCAACUGAGAAAUACCCUUAUCCCAAGGUUCGACUACGAUGUUCCGGUAACUUUAAACCACGCCGGGUGUUGAAAAGGUGGCCAGUUUCAGAUGCAUUGAUGUGUAGUGAUGCAGUGGACAACUGUGAGGAUGAUACCUGUGAUGUUCCUAAACUGUGAUGCAGAAACACAAUGGGAGGAUCCAUCCAUCUCUGACCACAACUACACUUUAAAAUCACAACUCAACCUGAAGCAACCUACAUCUGAUAUGGGAAAACAAUGGUGCAGUUUCCCUGACAGGGCUUAUGCUGGUCCCAGGCUAAAAUGCAUAUUUGAGCUACAAUAAUUUAAAAACACCUUGUACUGACAUACCUCAACAUAUAUGAGUGCCAUUGUUUUGUCACAAGAUGCGCACCAGUCUUGUUUUUUUGUAGGGUUUGUUUGUAAAAACUAAAAUGUCCUAAUAUAAUUAAAUCCUAGUCCUGUAAACCCUGUCCGAGAAACUGCUUCAAUGUGUUGAGCUGGCACAAAUGUACAUAUCUCUGCUGAGAAACUACCAUCUUUGUGUCAGCUUUACACAGCUGAUAUUGAUAUUGCAUCCAUUACACAGUCGCCAAGCACUUUACCAGUACAUACACCAACAGCUUCCAGAUAAACACUUGGGAUCAGCUCCUGAUGACUCUGAUAAAGCUGUGUCUUAAUUUAUUGCAGGGUGGUCUUGCUUUACCUGUUGUAAAGUUACAUUAAACCUUCAUAUGUGAUCAGAUGUCAUGCAGUGAUAUUAAACAUUUACAGUGUGAUCAGAUGUUGUGCAUUUAUAUUAAACCUUUACAAUGUGAUCAGAUGUUGUGCAUUUAUAUUAAACCUUUACAAUGUGA